rnacentral:rRNA from 1 species
CCUACGGGAGGCAGCAGUGAGGAAUAUUGGUCAAUGGGCGGGAGCCUGAACCAGCCAAGUCGCGUGAGGGAAGACGGUCCUAUGGAUUGUAAACCUCUUUAGGCGGGGAGCAAUGCCGGGCACGCGUGCCCGGAGGGAGAGUACCCGCAGAAUAAGCAUCGGCUAACUACGUGCCAGCAGCCGCGGUAAUACGGAGGAUGCGAGCGUUAUCCGGAUUUAUUGGGUUUAAAGGGUGUGUAGGCGGAUUUUUAAGUCAGCGGGAAAAUGUCGGGGCUCAACCCGGGCCGGCCGUUGAAACUGGGGAUCUUGAGUGGGCGAGAAGUAUGCGGAAUGCGUGGUGUAGCGGUGAAAUGCAUAGAUAUCACGCAGAACUCCGAUUGCGAAGGCAGCAUACCGGCGCCCGACUGACGCUGAGGCACGAAAGCGUGGGGAUCGAACAGGAUUAGAUACCCGUGUAGUC